GAUGAAGAACGCAGCAAAAUGCGAUAAGUAAUGUGAAUUGCAGAAUUCAGUGAAUCAUCGAAUCUUUGAACGCACAUUGCGCCCGCCAGUAUUCUGGCGGGCAUGCCUGUUCGAGCGUCAUUUCAACCCUCAAGCACAGCUUGGUGUUGGGACUCGCGUUAAUUCGCGUUCCCCAAAUUGAUUGGCGGUCACGUCGAGCUUCCAUAGCGUAGUAGUAAAACCCUCGUUACUGGUAAUCGUCGCGGCCACGCCGUUAAACCCCAACUUCUGAAUGUUGACCUCGGAUCAGGUAGGAAUACCCGCUGAACUUAAGCAUAUCAAAAGCGGAGGU
rnacentral:misc_RNA from 1 species